UACAAGUGCCAUCAUCAGAUUUCUUUGCUGGUUUCUAUUCUGGGUACUUUACAGUACCUAAGAAGGAUGGAGGCCUUGGUCCAAUUCUACCCAGCCACAAGGACCAGUGAUCACUACACACAAAAGACCAGCUAACGACAUCCAUCAAUCACAGUGACAGAUAAUCUCCCCUCCUUAUCACAAAAAUAUACCCACAACAAAAACACGCUGAUCACCAUAAUCACCCAUCUCCUGAAAAGGACAAAAGCUGAUCCCACAGCUAUAAAUACUCAACUCCCAAACAAACUGCACCAGAGCACAGAGUGCUACUCUUGUCCUCUGAAGAUGGAGCCAUAGAGACUGGCGAAACGUUAGGAAGAACAACCUUCAGAACAUGGCCAAAGAUCCUGAAAAACCCACAACAACAAAAAGAGGUUACUUACUUGUAACCAUAGUUCUUUUAGUGGUUCUCUGUGAAUUCAUAUAUGUGAAUUCAGAGAACCACUAGAACUAUGGUUACAGGUAAGUAACCUCUUUUUCACCAUUAUUUUCUGAUAUAUCUUACCCAGGAAGGUUUCCACUUUCACUUUCACCUCCUUGAAAGGGUGGAGCUACUCUACUGGAGAAGAGGUGGGGCUGUUUGGCUGACAGAAGUUGGGACUCUUUAAAACCCAUCCUCUGGAGAGAAGCCUGCCAUGUAGCUGGGAGACACACGGUGCCUCCUUCUCGCUCCCAUCAGAUACCGCCAGGUCCACCUGAGCCCACCGGCCAGACUCCACCAUGGUCACGUACAACGUCCGAGUGCUGACUGGAAAUUUCCUCUUUAAAACCGCCCUAGACAACUGGGGUCUGGAUUUCUACCGAGGAGCGGUGAGUAAUUAUAAGGUCUAUUCUUACCAUGACCUGGGAGAAAUUGUGCUCAUACGUCUCUACAAAGAGUGCAAGCCGCUCGUGGUCACCACCAGAUGGUACUGCAAUAAAGUGACCGUGAUGUCCCCAGAUUGGAAGGCUUUCGACUUUCCCUGCUACCAGUGGAUAGGUGGACUUAUUGAAGUAAUUAUUGAUGGCACUGAAUUGGUUACUUUAAGCAACUGGACAUCUUUCUCUUCGAAUACAAUUAUUUGACAUCUUAGGACAUAACGCUAUAACAAGGAAAAU
rnacentral:lncRNA from 1 species